rnacentral:rRNA from 1 species
AAAGGUGUGCUAAUACCGCAUAAUCUCUCAGGAGAAAAGCAGGGGAUCGCAAGACCUUGCGCUUUAGGAGCGGCCGAUGCCUGAUUAGCUUGUUGGUAAGGUAAAAGCUUACCAAGGCUUCGAUCAGUAGCUGGUCUGAGAGGACGACCAGCCACACUGGGACUGAGACACGGCCCAGACUCCUACGGGAGGCAGCAGUGGGGAAUUUUGGACAAUGGGGGAAACCCUGAUCCAGCCAUGCCGCGUGAGUGAAGAAGGCCUUCGGGUUGUAAAGCUCUUUCAGCCGGAACGAAACGGUUACGAUUAAUACUCGUAAUUAAUGACGGUACCGGCAGAAGAAGCACCGGCUAACUACGUGCCAGCAGCCGCGGUAAUACGUAGGGUGCGAGCGUUAAUCGGAAUUACUGGGCGUAAAGGGUCCGCAGGUUGUUUUGUAAGUCAGAUGUGAAAGCCCCGGGCUUAACCUGGGAACUGCGUCUGAAACUACAAGGCUAGAGUAUGGCAGAGGGGGGUGGAAUUCCGCGUGUAGCAGUGAAAUGCGUAGAUAUGUGGAGGAACACCGAUGGCGAAGGCAGCCCCCUGGGUCAAUACUGACGCUGAGGGACGAAAGCAUGGGGAGCAAACAGGAUUAGAUACCCUGGUAGUCCAUGCCCUAAACGAUGUCAACUAGUUGUCGGGCCUUUACGGGCUUGGUAACGUAGCUAACGCGUGAAGUUGACCGCCUGGGGAGUACGGUCGCAAGAUUAAAACUCAAAUGAAUUGACGGGGACCCGCACAAGCGGUGGAUUAUGUGGAUUAAUUCGAUGCAACGCGAAAAACCUUACCUACCCUUGACAUGUAUCGAAGCCCGCAGAAAAGCGGGGGUGCCCGAAAGGGAACGAUAACACAGGUGCUGCAUGGCUGUCGUCAGCUCGUGUCGUGAGAUGUUGGGUUAAGUCCCGCAACGAGCGCAACCCUUGUCAUUAAUUGCCAUCAUUUAGUUGGGCACUUUAAUGAGACUGCCGGUGACAAACCGGAGGAAGGUGGGGAUGACGUCAAGUCCUCAUGGCCCUUA